rnacentral:rRNA from 1 species
UACGGAGGGAGCUAGCGUUGUUCGGAAUUACUGGGCGUAAAGCGCACGUAGGCGGCUUUGUAAGUUAGAGGUGAAAGCCCGGGGCUCAACUUCGGAACUGCCUUUAAGACUGCAUCGCUUGAAUCCAGGAGAGGUGAGUGGAAUUCCGAGUGUAGAGGUGAAAUUCGUAGAUAUUCGGAAGAACACCAGUGGCGAAGGCGGCUCACUGGACUGGUAUUGACGCUGAGGUGCGAAAGCGUGGGGAGCAAACAGG